rnacentral:tRNA from 1 species
GGUAGAAUGGCUGAGAUAAGGCGAUAAAUUGUAAAUUUAUUUAGAAGGUGAAUACCUUUUCUAUCA